GGCAGCGCGGGAGGCGUCGACGCGCGGGCUGGAUACGUGCCGCCGGGUCCGCGCGGAGCCACUGGCGGGACCGACCUGCGCGCGU
rnacentral:ncRNA from 1 species